UACGUAGGGUGCAAGCGUUGUCCGGAAUUAUUGGGCGUAAAGAGCUCGUAGGCGGUUUGUCGCGUCUGCUGUGAAAACCUAAGGCUCAACCUUGGGCUUGCAGUGGGUACGGGCAGACUAGAGUGCGGUAGGGGUGACUGGAAUUCCUGGUGUAGCGGUGGAAUGCGCAGAUAUCAGGAGGAACACCGAUGGCGAAGGCGGGUCUCUGGGCCGAUACUGACGCUGAGGAGCGAAAGCGUGGGGAGCGAACAGG
rnacentral:rRNA from 1 species